rnacentral:rRNA from 1 species
UACGAAGGGAGCUAGCGUUGUUCGGAAUCACUGGGCGUAAAGCGCACGUAGGCGGAUGUGUCAGUCAGGGGUGAAAUCCCGGAGCUCAACUUCGGAACUGCCUUUGAUACAGCACGUCUUGAGUCCGAUAGAGGUGGGUGGAAUUCCUAGUGUAGAGGUGAAAUUCGUAGAUAUUAGGAAGAACACCGGUGGCGAAGGCGGUUCUCUGGGCCUGUACUGACGCUGAGGAACGAAAGCGUGGGGAGCGAACAGG